rnacentral:rRNA from 1 species
ACCUCCAGCUUCAUGCUGUCUACACCAGUCUCGUCUGAUGUGGGAAGCUAAGCAGGGUCAGGCCCGGUUAGUACUCGAAUGGGAGGCUGCAANGGGAUACCAGAUGCUGUAGGUC